AGUGGGUCGUAGACUUAAGUUAUAAGUUGAAACUGUGAAACUACUAGAGGAAUGCUUAAGGGAAAUACUUCAGAGCACUGGUGUAGGCUACAAGUCCCUCUAGGUGCAGGAAACAACAGUGGACAGUCAAAUGUGAGUCCAUCAAAGUGAGAAGCUUCUACCAGAGAGGCCAACCACCAAUGCAAACCAAAGACAGAACAAAUAGAAACACACAUUGUCAAAAGGAUUUAUAUCUACCAUGUAAACAGAAGCAAAGCAUACAGAUGGACUUCUCCAAAGAAGAAAUUUAGAUGAGCAAGCAGAGCACCUUUCUCUCUCAAAAUGAAGUUAGUCAAUUAGGCUCCUGUAUCUAGCAACCAACUUCAGGAAAGCCAGUGUGUCUUCAUGCCUAAUGGACAUCCCUGGAACAAACAAAUCAAACAGAACAAAGGAAUUCUAGAGGGAGUAGAGCUGGACGUCCUGGUGUGACAGAAGUUCAAUCAAACAGAAUUGAUAAGAAAGGUCUUAAAUUAUCUCUAUUGACUGAAACUGGAUUUUACAACUCGACAUGCCCAAAUAGACUUGGAGCCACAGUAUCCCAGAGACUUAUUUGAAAAUUUCAGGAUAUGAGUAUGAAAAGCACCGUGUUAGAAAUGAAGAUUUCUCUAUGAUGUUGGAGAAGACUCUCCUGUACUAUUCCUUUUUACCCUCUUUCCCAGUAAUAACCCUGAAGGCCCCUCUCAGUCUCUGUGCUUUGAAAAUGGUGUUACACUCAGUGCGCACAAAGUGGUCCUGAAGAGCCAUGGUCUUUCACUACACAUUCGUGCGACCCAGGGAGGAGUAUUAAAAAAGUACGGAAGCAUCCCUGGAAUUCUAGAGAUAACUUUGUGGGAACCAAGUGAUCUUUCUAUCUCCCCAGCAUGGAAACAUGUUUUCAACUGUAACACAUCGUGUAAGUCCACCUGAGGGAAUUCAUUCCAUCCAGGACUCAGCCAUGCUUUCAAACCAAUUAAGAUGAUGGACUGUG
rnacentral:lncRNA from 1 species